rnacentral:misc_RNA from 1 species
AAACAAUCCUGUAUAUUGGAAAUAGACAAAAUGUGUGUAUCUAGAAAUGUGCUAUGACUUUUCAUUCUCUAUAAAUAUGGAUGUGUUGUUCAAAUUAUAUAAACUAUUAUUUUUUCUUCUCUUCUAGUCUCUUUAAAUUCUAUUCGUACAAAAAGGUUUAAAGGGAAAUCUUUAGAAGUUGCUGUCUGCAGAUUGUAGGUUUUGUUAUA